rnacentral:tRNA from 1 species
CCUUCGAUAGCUCAGUUGGUAGAGCGGAGGACUGUAGGCUACAUAUGUUGAUAUCCUUAGAUCGCUGGUUCAACUCCCGCUCGAAGGA